UCGGAAACCCUCGUCUCGAGAAUCGGAUAAUACAUUACGCGUCAAUACACCAGCCAAUCCGCUUCCCUCGUCUCGCCAUUUAUUUUCGAACUAAAAAAAAUAAAAAUAAAAUCCCGCCUCUUCAGCUUCCCGUGCCCCUUCAUCCGCAUUUGGGGGCGUUCAGAUCUCUUAUUACUCCACGGAUUUCUUUCCUCUCUCACUCUCUGGAUAUUUGGAAUAAGCGUAUCUAUGAUUUUUGGCUUUCCAUCUAAUUGCAAUGAAAGGUGUAACAGAGAUGAGGUUUCCACCAUCUUCGUGUUCAUUGCUCUCAUGGAUGUUACCAGGUCAGGAGUUGAAGGAUCCCUGAUGUGAUAAUAUGCAUUGGGGGAUAUGGAGAGCAACGUAUGAGGUUCAUGUACCAAUCAGUAGGAAUCAUUCAACCUCAUCGCUGAGAUAUUUCUCUGUGCAAGUGUGGAUGUAUAUUCAAUCAUAUGUGAUUUAAAAAAAAGUUGGGGAAGCAUGUGGAGAAAAGCAUGCCAAGUUGAUAACAGAUCUGUGGCUUCAAUCGGUCGGAUAAGAUAUGAUGCAAUUAUUGGGUUUGAACAGGAGUUGGGAGAAUGAGACGACAAAUUUUUUUUAACUAUUUGAUUGAGUUUAUAUGGUUUCACUAUGGUCUGAUUCAGUGGCUCCUACCCUCCAAGGUUCUGAAAAGCCAUCUCAUGCCCACCACCCUAGGUUUCCAGGCUGGUAUUAAUUUUAGAGGAUUUGUUUUGGGUGGUUUUGAUUCAGUUUGGUAGGUCCCAACCAUGAUUGAGUGGGAUGCAGAUUCCAAUAUCUUCAUGCUUUUCCAGUGUGUUCUUUUUUCCUCAAAAGUGCAAAGCUUUAAGACUUUCCGGGGCAUUUUCCCUGCAAUUACAAUCCAAUGUAGCAAAGAAGAUUUUUCUCCA